GACGAACGCUGGCGGCGUGCUUAACACAUGCAAGUCGAACGGAAAGGCCCUGCUUUUGUGGGGUGCUCGAGUGGCGAACGGGUGAGUAACACGUGAGUAUCCUGCACUUGACUUUGGGAUAACUUCAGGAAACUGGGGCUAAUACCGGAUAGGAGCUCCUGCUGCAUGGUGGUGGUUGGAAAGUUUCGGCGGUUGGGGAUGGACUCGCGGCUUAUCAGCUUGUUGGUGGGGUAGUGGCUUACCAAGGCUUUGACGGGUAGCCGGCCUGAGAGGGUGACCGGCCACAUGGGGACUGAGAGACGGCCCAGACGCCUACGGGAGGCAGCAGUGGGGAAUAUUGCACAAUGGGCGGAAGCCUGAUGCAGCAACGCCGCGUGCGGGAUGACGGCCUUCGGGUUGUAAACCGCUUUCGCCUGUGACGAAGCGUGAGUGACGGUAAUGGGUAAAGAAGCACCGGCUAACUACGUG
rnacentral:rRNA from 1 species